ACGGCGAGUGAAGCGGCAACAGCUCAAAUUUGAAAUCUGGGCCUUUUAGGUCCCGAGUUGUAAUUUGUAGAGGAUGCUUCGGCUUACGCCCCGGUCUAAGUCCCUUGGAACAGGGCGUCACAGAGGGUGAGAACCCCGUACGUGGCCGGCGGCUUCCGCCAUGUGAAGCUCCUUCGACGAGUCGAGUUGUUUGGGAAUGCAGCUCAAAAUGGGAGGUAAAUUUCUCCUAAAGCUAAAUACUGGCCAGAGACCGAUAGCGCACAAGUAGAGUGAUCGAAAGAUGAAAAGCACUUUGGAAAGAGAGUUAAAAAGUACGUGAAAUUGUUGAAAGGGAAGCGCUUGCGACCAGACUUGUCCGCGGUGGCUCCGCCGGUCCUUCGGCCGGUGUACUCCUCCGCGGGCAGGCCAGCAUCAGUUCGGGCGGCCGGAUAAAGGUCGUGGGAAAGUAGCUCCCCUCGGGGAGUGUUAUAGCCCGCGGCGCAAUGCGGCCCGCCUGGACUGAGGAACGCGCUUCGGCCAGGAUGCUGGCGUAAUGGUCGUAAGCGGCCCGUCUUGAAACACGGACCAAGGAGUCUAACAUCUAUGCGAGUGUUUGGGUGUCAAACCCGUGCGCGAAAUGAAAGUGAACGGAGGUGGGAGCCCUUGGGUGCACCAUCGACCGAUCCUGAUGUCUUCGGAUGGAUUUGAGUAAGAGCAUAGCUGUUGGGACCCGAAAGAUGGUGAACUAUGCCUGAAUAGGGUGAAGCCAGAGGAAACUCUGGUGGAGGCUCGCAGCGGUUCUGACGUGCAAAUC
rnacentral:rRNA from 1 species